rnacentral:lncRNA from 1 species
GGUGGCACCGGGACACCGGGGGGACACGGGGGUGGCACCGGGACCGAGGGGACACCGGGGUGGCACCCCGGGAUGUCACCAAACGGGGACAAGGUGGGGGGACAGCUCACCAAUCACAACGCGGGAUUCGAGCUAUAUUUGCAUAACCACGCCCCCGGCCCCGCCCCGCCCGCAGCCUCCGGGCGCGGUUCGAUCCCAGUUCCGUCCCAGUGCUCCCAGUUCGCUCCCAGUUCCCUCCCAGUUCCGUCCCAGUGCUCCCAGUUCGCUCCCAGUGCUCCCAGUUCCCUCCCAGUGCUCCCAGUUCCCUCCCAGUGCUCCCAGUUCCCUCCCAGUGCUCCCAGUUCGCUCCCAGUUCCGUCCCAGUGCUCCCAGUAAGGGCCGUGCUGGGACGGAAAGCGCUCCCAGUUCCCUCCCAGUUCCCUCCCAGUGCUCCCAGUUCCCUCCCAGUGCUCCCAGUAAGGGCCGUGCCGGGAGGGAAAGCGCUCCCAGUUCCCUCCCAGUGCUCCCAGUAAGGGCCCGGGCCGGGCAGGGAGCGGGAGGAAGAGGAAGAGGAAGAGGAAGGAGAGAAGAAGGAGAGGAAGAGGAAGAGGAAGAGGAAGAGGAAGAGGAAGAGGAAGAGGAAGAGGAGGAGGAAGAGGAAGAGGAAGAGGAAGAGGAAGAGGAAGAGGAAGAGGAGGAGGAAGAGGAGGAGGAAGAGGAAGAGGAAGAGGAAGAGGAAGAGGAAGAGGAAGGACAAAGGAAGAGGAGGGAGAGAAGAAGGAGAGGAGGAGAGGAGGAGGAAGAGGAGGAGGAAGAGGAAGAGGAGGGACAGAGGAAGAGGAGGAGGAAGAGGAAGAGGAGGGACAAAAGACGAGGAGGGAGAGAAGAAGAAGGAGAGGAAGAGGAGAGGAAGAGGAAGAGGAAGAGGAAGAGGAAGAGGAAGAGGAAGGACAAAGGAAGAGGAGGGAGAGAAGAAGGAGAGGAAGAGGAGGAGGAAGAGGAGGGACAAAGGAAGAGGAAGAGGAGGGAGAGAAGAAGAAGAAGAAGGAGAGGAAGAGGAGAGGAAGAGGAGGAGGAAGAGGAAGAGGAAGGACAGAGGAAGAGGAGGAGCGGCCGGAGGAGGAGGAGGGAGAGAGGAAGAGGAAGAGGAGGGAUAAAGGAAGAGGAAGAGGAGGGAGAGAAGAAGAGCGAGAGGAGGAGGAAGAGGAAGAGGAAGAGGAGGGACAGAGGAAGAGGAGGAGCGGCCGGCAUCGCCCCCGGUCCCGGUGCAGGUGAGCGGGCAGCGGCAGCUCAUCCAAACCCGUACCGGGGCUCCCCGGGAGCGUUUUCCGGUGGUCCCGGG